CUUGAUCGACCCCAACCACAACGGCCGAUCCUCCGGCCGAUCCUGCCCAUACGUCGCCAACAACGCCUGAGCCUC
rfam:Streptomyces sp. SCSIO 03032, complete genome.